rnacentral:rRNA from 1 species
GCUAAACUACUGGCCGGAGACCGAUAGCGCAAAGUUAGAGUGAUCGAAAGAUGAAUAAGCACUUUGAAAAGAGAGUUAAAAAGCACGUGAA